UGCGAGGCUAGCUGCCAGCUGGACCUACGGGAGCGGGUGACAAAGCCCCAUACGCUCGAGGACCAGACAUGGUGCCGCCACUGCCUUUUGGGCCCGUCCCCGUUACCAGGGACGGAAGCCCAACACACAAGCCGUGCUUGAGGGCAGCAAUGACGCUCGGACAGGCAUGCCCCCCGGAAUACCAGGGGGCGCAAUGUGCGUUCAAAGACUCGAUGAUUCACUGAAUUCUGCAAUUCACAUUAAUUAUCGCAUUUCGCUGCGUUCUUCAUCGAUGCCGGAACCAAGAGAUCCGUUGUUGAAAGUUUUAAUUAUUGUUUAACUAAAAACUCAGACUGCAAACUUCAGACAGUGUUCAAAUGUUAGUCUUCGGCGGGCCGUGGCCACUCCGAAGCAACAGGGUACAGAUAUACACGGAUGGGAGGUGGGACCUCUAGGGCCCGCUCCACGCUAAGUGUCUAUCCAGAGGUCUACCCACAAAAAAGCCUAUCUAUAACCUUAAUAUAAUCGAACCCUAAAAAUUAUUCGAACUCUCAUCUCUGCUUUCAUUAACCUCCUUAUAUACUCUUAGUUUAUCUCUCCGACUUACCUUCUUAUAAAUUAUCUUAUAUUAAAGAUAAUACGCCAUUCGUUAUAUAAUAUAUUUUUUCAGUUCCUCCUCGUCUUUAUAAAUACUUUCUACUCUACUCGUGGCUCUGCUUGAAAGAAAGUCGCAGUCUGAUUAUAAGCUUAAUAGAUUUUGCACAUACAGGUAUAUUGCAUAUAAUUACUAAUUUGUAUACUAAUUUGACUUCUUCUCAUAAAACCAUCCUAUACCCUAUCUUUAUAACCUAGUCCAUAUUUAAUUUACUAUUGCGAGGCUAGCUGCCAGCUGGACCUACGGGAGCGGGUGACAAAGCCCCAUACGCUCGAGGACCAGACAUGGUGCCGCCACUGCCUUUUGGGCCCGUCCCCGUUACCAGGGACGGAAGCCCAACACACAAGCCGUGCUUGAGGGCAGCAAUGACGCUCGGACAGGCAUGCCCCCCGGAAUACCAGGGGGCGCAAUGUGCGUUCAAAGACUCGAUGAUUCACUGAAUUCUGCAAUUCACAUUAAUUAUCGCAUUUCGCUGCGUUCUUCAUCGAUGCCGGAACCAAGAGAUCCGUUGUUGAAAGUUUUAAUUAUUGUUUAACUAAAAACUCAGACUGCAAACUUCAGACAGUGUUCAAAUGUUAGUCUUCGGCGGGCCGUGGCCACUCCGAAGCAACAGGGUACAGAUAUACACGGAUGGGAGGUGGGACCUCUAGGGCCCGCUCCACGCUAAGUGUCUAUCCAGAGGUCUACCCACAAAAAAGCCUAUCUAUAACCUUAAUAUAAUCGAACCCUAAAAAUUAUUCGAACUCUCAUCUCUGCUUUCAUUAACCUCCUUAUAUACUCUUAGUUUAUCUCUCCGACUUACCUUCUUAUAAAUUAUCUUAUAUUAAAGAUAAUACGCCAUUCGUUAUAUAAUAUAUUUUUUCAGUUCCUCCUCGUCUUUAUAAAUACUUUCUACUCUACUCGUGGCUCUGCUUGAAAGAAAGUCGCAGUCUGAUUAUAAGCUUAAUAGAUUUUGCACAUACAGGUAUAUUGCAUAUAAUUACUAAUUUGUAUACUAAUUUGACUUCUUCUCAUAAAACCAUCCUAUACCCUAUCUUUAUAACCUAGUCCAUAUUUAAUUUACUAU
rnacentral:misc_RNA from 1 species